GGGGCGUUAGCUCAGUUGGUAGAGCAGAAGGCUUUUAACCUUUUGGUCGCGCGUUCGAGUCGCGCACGCCCCACCA
rnacentral:tRNA from 2 species